rnacentral:rRNA from 1 species
GACGAACGCUGGCGGCGUGCUUAACACAUGCAAGUCGUACGGUAAGGCCCUUUCGGGGGUACACGAGUGGCGCACGGGUGAGUAACACGUGAGUAACCUGCCCACAACUUUGGGAUAACGCUAGGAAACUGGUGCUAAUACUGGAUAUGUGCUCCUGCUGCAUGGUGGGGGUUGGAAAGCUCCGGCGGUUGUGGAUGGACUCGCGGCCUAUCAGCUUGUUGGUGGGGUAGUGGCCUACCAAGGCGGCGACGGGUAGCCGGCCUGAGAGGGUGACCGGCCACAUUGGGACUGAGAUACGGCCCAGACUCCUACGGGAGGCAGCGGUGGGGAAUAUUGCACAAUGGGCGCAAGCCUGAUGCAGCAACGCCGCGUGCGGGAUGACGGCCUUCGGGUUGUAAACCGCUUUCAGCAGGGACGAAGCUUUUUGUGACGGUACCUGCAGAAGAAGCACCGGCUAACUACGUG